AGAAGGAGGAGUUUAGCACAGACUCUAUACAGCUGAGUAGAUCUGAACAUCACACAACACUGUGUGGAGCAGCUGCUCUGUUUUUAGCUUGUUCUUACUAGUUCAGUGAGUGAACAUGUUGAUCUAUAUUGUAAUACUGCUGUCAUCAACCAAAGGUUGCGGAGCCUCAGAAGUCAUUACUCCAAAAAGAAACAGAGAAUUUGCUCUUGAGGGUGACAUUAAUGUGACACUCUCCUGUAACUACAGCGGUUCUGCUUUUGGUGUUCACUGGUAUCGUCAAUAUACAGGUUCACCACCACAGUUCCUCAUACUGGAAUAUUCAGGGGUAACAACUCCAGCUAAACCACCCAUUCCAGGAUUAACCAUCAAUCACAGAAAAACUGAAAGCCAUGUGGAUCUGAUCAUCUCCUCUGCUGCUGUAUCAGACUCUGCUCUGUACUACUGUGCUCUGGAGCCCACACUGACAGGAAAACAGACUGCACUGUACAAAAACCUCACAGUAUUUUGGGAAAGUAUUAAAGCAAGGAUUUUUCUACUGACAUUUUAUUAUUCAAUGUUCAUUAAAUACCCAGCUAACCAAUAAAUAAUAAAAACUCCUUCUUCAUGCUUUUAUGUCAUGAUUUAAACGUAUAAAAUGUAAUAUCCUGCCAUUUAAAGGUAAUUGUAAGCAACAUAAAUAUGUUUUCUGCAAAUCUGGAUAAUUAUUGCUAUAGGAUCCUCAUUUCAAGAUUAUCCCCUGAAAUGUCACUGAAAUAUGUUGUAACUUGUAAUUAAUUAAGUCUAUAUGUAUCUAUGUAAUACUACUUAUUUGAUUAAAUAUGUGGGACUGUGUUAUAAAUAACAGUCUUGUCUGUCAUAUAUUGUGUGAGAUGAGGGCUGAAUGUUGUCUGAGUAGGAGGAGUUCACACAUUGUGAAAUGCAUUA